GACACACUUAACAGAGUAUCUUGGAUGUUUUUAUAUUCUUAGCUACCAUUGCUGUGCCUGGCAAAUACGAGAGACUGUAUACAUUUUUAUUCAGUAUGUAGAUGAUUGAAUUAUAAGUUGUGGUUAAUUUCAUGGUAUUACCUUGUUUUAGUUAAGCUAGCUAUGGCCUUUAUAUUGAAUUCAAAACAAAGCAGUGGGAAUGCCACUUAGGGGUGUGGAAUACUAGGGGAAAGCGUCCCUCCUGAACUGCUGUUAAUUAACAAAGUCGAAGCAUGUGGACACGAAGAGAAGGAGGGAAGAAAGGAAGGAAAAGAAGAUUUGAGAGGAAAAGAAUAUAGAUACAUCAGCAUUGGAGAAUGACAGAGGCUUAUGCUUCUUAUAUUAUUCCUUCUUGGAAACGUUAAGAUUUCUCGGUGGGGAAGGAAGAAAGUGUUUGAGCAAAGAGUUUGAAGACUUGAACAUUAUAGUAUUAAUGCCAAAUGCAACUCAAGACCAUGUACAACUCACGAUUGUGGCUUGCCUGUAAUAGGUUCAGUAUAUUUGCUUGUGUGAUUAAAUCACAUCGAUGAAUGCCAGACGUUUCUGGUUUCUUUGUGACAUCUUCUGAAUGAUGAUGAUGGUGAAAAUGAUGAUGUGUUUAAUUUCAACAUCUACUGAUACAUAGCAGCUGAUGUUGCAGUGUGGUGUAGCAAGUCAGU
rnacentral:lncRNA from 1 species